rnacentral:rRNA from 1 species
UGGGGAAUUUUGGACAAUGGGCGAAAGCCUGAUCCAGCAAUGCCGCGUGUGUGAAGAAGGCCUUCGGGUUGUAAAGCACUUUUGUCCGGAAAGAAAUCCUUGGCUCUAAUACAGUCGGGGGAUGACGGUACCGGAAGAAUAAGCACCGGCUAACUACGUGCCAGCAGCCGCGGUAAUACGUAGGGUGCAAGCGUUAAUCGGAAUUACUGGGCGUAAAGCGUGCGCAGGCGGUUUGCUAAGACCGAUGUGAAAUCCCCGGGCUCAACCUGGGAACUGCAUUGGUGACUGGCAGGCUAGAGUAUGGCAGAGGGGGGUAGAAUUCCACGUNUGAGCAGUGAAAUGCGUAGAGAUGUGGAGGAAUACCGAUGGCGAAGGCAGCCCCCUGGGCAAUACUGACGCUCAUGCACGAAAGCGUGGGGAGCAAACAGGAUUAGAUACCCUGGUAGUCCACGCCCUAAACGAUGUCAACUAGUUGUUGGGGAUUCAUUCCUUAGUAACGUAGCUAACGCGUGAAGUUGACCGCCUGGGGAGUACGGUCGCAAGAUUAAAACUUAAAUGAAUUGACGGGGUCAUAGCUG